AACGCGAAGAACCUUACCAGGCCUUGACAUCCGGAUGGCGUAUGGGCAAUGCCAUAUUUCCUUCGGGACAUCCGAGACAGGUGGUGCAUGGUUGUCGUCAGCUCGUGUCGUGAGAUGUUGGGUUAAGUCCCGCAACGAGCGCAACCCCUGCCUUCUGUAGCCAGCAUUCAGGAUGGGAACUCAGGAGGGACUGCCCGGGAGAACCGGGAGGAAGGCGGGGAUGACGUCAAAUCAUCAUGCCCCUUAUGGCCUGGGCUACACACGUGCUACAAUGGCGUAAACAAAGGGAAGCGAGCCUGCGAGGGUAAGCGAAUCCCAAAAAUAACGUCCCAGUUCGGAUUGCAGUCUGCAACUCGAGUGCAUGAAGCUGGAAUCGCUAGUAAUCGC
rnacentral:rRNA from 1 species